CCCUAUAGCUCAGCUGGUAGAGCAACUGAUUUGUAAUCAGUAGGUCGGGAGUUCGAGUCUCUCUGGGGGCACCA
rnacentral:tRNA from 1 species